AGCUCAAUGAUAGCAGCCAAUUAUUAUUUUGGCGAUAUACACUAUUCUGAUAGAGUUUGUUGUUAAGUGCUGGCAUUGGUAUAUACUGAGAGCU